CCUAACACAUGCAAGUCGAACGGUAACAGGAAGCAGCUUAGCUGCUUCGCUGACGAGUGGCGGACGGGUGAGUAAUGUCUGGGAAACUGCCUGAUGGAGGGGGAUAACUACUGGAAACGGUAGCUAAUACCGCAUAACGUCGCAAAACCAAAGAGGGGGACCUUCGGGCCUCUUGCCAUCGGAUGUGCCCAGAUGGGAUUAGCUAGUAGGUGGGGUAACGGCUCACCUAGGCGACGAUCCCUAGCUGGUCUGAGAGGAUGACCAGCCACACUGGAACUGAGACACGGUCCAGACUCCUACGGGAG
rnacentral:rRNA from 1 species